rnacentral:rRNA from 1 species
AUUGAACGCUGGCGGCAUGCCUUACACAUGCAAGUCGAACGGCAGCACGGGAGCAAUCCUGGUGGCGAGUGGCGAACGGGUGAGUAAAGUAUCGGAACGUGCCCAGUCGUGGGGGAUAACGUAGCGAAAGUUACGCUAAUACCGCAUACGAUCUACGGAUGAAAGCGGGGGAUCGCAAGACCUCGCGCGAUUGGAGCGGCUGAUAUCAGAUUAGGUAGUUGGUGGGGUAAAGGCUCACCAAGCCGACGAUCUGUAGCUGGUCUGAGAGGACGACCAGCCACAUUGGGACUGGGACACGGCCCAGACUCCUACGGGAGGCAGCAGUGGGGAAUUUUGGACAAUGGGCGCAAGCCUGAUCCAGCCAUGCCGCGUGCAGGAUGAAGGCCUUCGGGUUGUAAACUGCUUUUGUACGGAACGAAAAGGUUUGGCCUAAUAAGCUGGACCCAUGACGGUACCGUAAGAAUAAGCACCGGCUAACUACGUGCCAGCAGCCGCAGUAA